rnacentral:rRNA from 1 species
AGUGAACGCUGGCGGUAGGCCUAACACAUGCAAGUCGAACGGCAGCACAGUAAGAGCUUGCUCUUACGGGUGGCGAGUGGCGGACGGGUGAGGAAUACAUCGGAAUCUACUUUUUCGUGGGGGAUAACGUAGGGAAACUUACGCUAAUACCGCAUACGACCUACGGGUGAAAGCAGGGGAUCUUCGGACCUUGCGCGAUUGAAUGAGCCGAUGUCGGAUUAGCUAGUUGGCGGGGUAAAGGCCCACCAAGGCGACGAUCCGUAGCUGGUCUGAGAGGAUGACCAGCCACACUGAAACGGAGACACGGCCAAGACUCUUAGGGGAGGCACCAGGGGGGAAUUUUGGACAAUGGGCGAAAGCCUGAUCCAGCAAUGCCGGGGGGGGGAAGAAGGCCUUGGGGUUGUAAAGCCUUUUUGGGGGGAAAGAAAAGCAGCGUGUAAAUACCCCGGUUUUAUGAGGGAACCAAAAGAAUAAGCACCGGCUAGCUUCGUG